rnacentral:rRNA from 1 species
CCGACGAAUUAUUUAGUGAGAUCUCUGGAGGUGAACACGACGGUGUUUCGGCACUGUUGUUGCUUCGCCAAAGUUGAUCAAACUUGAUGAUUUGGAGGAAAUAAAAGUCGUAACAAGGUUUCCGUAGGUGAACCUGCGGAAGGAUCAUUA